rnacentral:rRNA from 1 species
CGCCUCUUGACCAAGUAUAAGAGGUCCAGCCUGCCCAGUGACAAAAUUCAACGGCCGCGGUACCCUAACCGUGCGAAGGUAGCAUAAUCACUUGUUCUCUAAAUAGGGACUAGUAUCAACGGCACCACGAGGGCUGUACUGUCUCCUUUCUCCCAUCAGUGAAACUGAUCUCCCCGUGAAGAAGCGGGGAUUAUUAUAUAAGACGAGAAGACCCCAUGGAGCUUUAAACUCAUCACCCACUUCCUCACUUCUAUGCCCAAUCAUAUAAGGAACCUGCGUGAUAGUUUUGGGUUGGGGGGACCACGGAGUACAAUUCAACCUCCGCGACAAAUGGGCUACGCCCUUAUCUACGAACUACAACUCUAAGAAUCAUAAGCUGAUGUUUAAUGACCCGAUAAUUCGAUCAACGAACCAAGUUACCCUGGGGAUAACAGCGCAAUCUACUUCAAGAGCCCCUAUCGACAAGUAGGUUUACGACCUCGAUGUUGGAUCAGGGUAUCCUGGGGGUGCAGCCGCUCCCGAUGGUUCGUUUGUUCAACGAUUAAAACCCU